UGCACCAUUGUGACCUACCAGAUGGU
rnacentral:piRNA from 1 species